CCGGUCAAGUGCAAGACCCUCCAAAAUCGUUUGCAGUAUACACACACCUUCACAGCCCCUUAACGUAUGACCCGAUAUGACCAAUAAGAAAUAAGAUAUACUUAGUUACAAAAGAAGGGCGUAAAAAAAAUAAAAGAAUCCUAGGAAAAUCAAAUAUUCGAUUUUUUCUCUGCUGCAUAAUAUGCCCGAAUGACAAAAAAAGUUUAUGGUUCAAGCAAUUUUUUUUUUUUGGGGGGGGGGAAGUUAGGCCUUCUAAAAUACAAAGACUGGAUAGACUUUCUAAAAGUGGACUAAACAAAGAAAAUGUCAAAGGUAAGCAAUGAACAAAGAGAGUGAGGGUUAUGUUUGACAAUUAUAUUUUGCAUGAAAUUGUUCAUUCCUUCGAAUACUCUUGAUCGGCAAAAAGUUAGAAGAGAGAGCAGAGAAUAAGGAAACUUAAUCAUGAACUUUCAAAAAGAUCAUUGCUUAAACUAAGAUGGAUUAGUUUCUAUUCAAGGACUGACAAGAGGAAAGUCUAUGAAUAUCUUGAUGUAAAUAAAAAAAUGUGACAAAGGAGCCAUUCAAAGAAGUUAUAACAUUUUCUGCACAGAAAAAGAAGAACAUUUAGUAAUGAUUGAAAAACCUGGUCAUGAAUAAUAUAUUGGCCACGUUUCCCCAAAAAGUGACAAAGCUGAAGAUCAAGCUGGGAAAUCCUCUCAGUUCUAGAAGACCACGAUAGUGUAGAUUCCUUGGUGGCUGUUGUGUAGCAGAAAAUUUAAUGUAAGAUUUAAUCACAGACUAAAAA
rnacentral:lncRNA from 1 species